rnacentral:rRNA from 1 species
AGAACGAACGCUGGCGGCGUGGAUAAGACAUGCAAGUCGAACGCGACUUAUUUUGUUAGCAAUAACGAGAUAAGUUGAGUGGCGAAAGGGUGCGUAACACGUGGGAAUUUACCAAGAAGUGGGGAAUAGCUCGACGAAAGUCGAAUUAAUACCGCAUGUGAUCGAAAGAUCAAAGUCGGGGACCGCAAGGCCUGACGCUUUUUGAGAAGCCCGCGGCCCAUCAGCUAGUUGGCGAGGUAAAAGCUCACCAAGGCUAUGACGGGUAGCUGGUCUGAGAGGACGACCAGCCACACUGGAACUGAGACACGGUCCAGACACCUACGGGUGGCAGCAGUCGAGAAUUUUUUCACAAUGGACGAAAGUCUGAUGGAGCGACGCCGCGUGGAGGAUGAAGGUUUUCGGAUUGUAAACUCCUGUCACUGCAGAACAAGGAUACGUCAGUUAACAGCCGACGUA